GACGAACGCUGGCGGCGUGCUUAACACAUGCAAGUCGAACGGUGAAGCGCCGUCCUUUUUGUUGGGUGUGGUUGAGUGGCGAACGGGUGAUUAACAGGUAAGUAACCUGCCCCCUUCUUCGGGAUAACCGCGUGAACGUGUGGCUAAUACGGGUUAUUCUUGGUCUGUCGCUUGAUGGGUCUUGGAAAGUUAUUGUUUCGGUUGGGCAUGGGCUCGCGGCCUAUCAGCUUGUUGGUGGGUUGAUGGCCUACCAAGGCGGUGACGGGUGGCCGGCCUGGGCGGGUGGCCGGUCAGACAGGGACACAGACCCGGGCCAGCCACGUGAGGGAGGCAGCAGGGGGGAUUAGUGAACGAUGGGCGCCAGACUGAUGCAGCGACGCCGCGUGAGGGAUGGCGGCCGUCGGGUUGUGAACCUCUUUCGCGAGUGAAGCAGGCCUGCCUCGUUUGUGGGUGGGUUGACGGUAGCUGGAUAAGAAGCGCCGGCUAACUACGUG
rnacentral:rRNA from 1 species